rnacentral:rRNA from 1 species
CCUACGGGAGGCAGCAGUGGGGAAUCUUGCGCAAUGGGCGAAAGCCUGACGCAGCAACGCCGCGUGCGGGAAGAAGGCUUUCGGGCUGUAAACCGCUUUCAGCAGGAACGAAAAUGACGGUACCUGCAGAAGAAGGAGCGGCCAACUAUGUGCCAGCAGCCGCGGUGAUACAUAGGCUUCAAGCGUUGUCCGGAUUUAUUGGGCGUAAAGAGUUCGUAGGCGGUCGAGUAAGUCGGGUGUGAAAAUUCUGGGCUCAACCCCAGAGACGCCACCCGAUACUGCUUAACUUGAGUUCGAUAGGGGAGUGGGGAAUUCCUAGUGUAGCGGUGAAAUGCGCAGAUAUUAGGAGGAACACCGGUGGCGAAGGCGCCACUCUGGAUCGAUACUGACGCUGAGGAACGAAAGCAUGGGUAGCAAACAGGAUUAGAUACCCUGGUAGUCCAUGCCGUAACCGGUAGGGUCGACUAGGUGGUGGGUAGUUACUUAUUUAAACGUAAACUUACCGUCCGGCCCGGUCCGGCCGUAACCGCCACUUAAGUACGUCCCCGCCCGUCGGGGUAGGUACGGUCGGCACGAACUAAAACCUUAAAACUUAGUAAUUAGUACAG